AAUAACUCCCGCCAAAAUUUUAAAAGAUCGGCUAAUGUCGUUUUAAACUCGGUAAAUAUCGCAACGCUCCGUUCGUCAUCGGUAAACUACGGUAAAAAUUUGAUUUCAUCCCAAAAUAUGUAUUUGCGCAAUAUUUUUUAUUUUGAUUGGUCAUAACUAUCAUAAAGUGGUAUUUGAUUAAUAUUUCAGUUAGUUCUGUUUAAUAAUAUUCGAAAAUAUAAAUAUUUUUAAACCGAAAGUAAUUGGAUUUCGCGACCAGCGUUUUCUGAAAACGGAAUGGCACGAAACCAGAAAGGUCAGUUUUCGAAGAGAAAACCAGUAAGUCGACGAAAGAAAUUAUUGAAUAAUGAUCACUGUUAUUGUGGAAACAAUGUAACAACUACUCGCGUUGGAUUAAAUCUAGAUGAAUCGUGGAAAGUGGGAAGAAGACUGGUUGAGUGGGAAGUGCUUCUUGGUAAUCUAAAAUAUUGUCAAAAGUGUAAACUUGGACCUGUGCCACUGACAAUAAACACAAUUCAGGGGGAGCUUCAGAAAGGACUUGGAGGGUAUUUAUAUGUGAAAUGUGAAAAUCCUGAUUGUGAAUACAUAAACCGUGCUGCCUACGGAAAGACAUACCACCAGACAGCUGAACGUCGAGGCAUGCCUUGCUUUGCAGUGAACACCAAACUUGGAACUGCAAUGAUCGAUAGUCUGGGUGGGCCAAGACGUGUAAAUAACAUGUUAGCUACACUAAAUCUAAAGACAGUGUCAGAUGCAAACUUGAAAAAGAUGGAGAUUCGGGCAGGAGAUGUUGUGGAGAAAGUUUCCACUGAGUCAUCACGAGCCGUAGCUGAGGAGGCAUUUAAGAAUGAAAUGGAGACCAUUGCACAUGCAGAGUCUCAAGAUGCACAAGUUGGUAUGAGUGGUUUGAUUGAAGACUUGGGCGUUUGUCCACUACCAGAUUCAUCUCCUGUAUCACAGUUGAGGCUUCAUGAUGAUGAACUAGAUUGGACUGAUACUGAGAGUGAUGAUGAGAAUACAUGUAGCUAUAUUGAACAUGUUGAACAGAAUGUCCCAGAGACUGCCUCUUUACCAGAUAACAGUUGCAGGAAUUGGUCACGGCGACAAUGUAGAUGUGGAACAGAUUCCAGAUUCCAUUCCAAGGGGUAAUUUUAAACCUGUCCAGUUACCAGGACCCCCAGCUGUUAUAUCUUUUGACUUGGAAACAACAGGCCUGAUUAAAGACGGAGUGCUUCCGCAGAUUACACAGAUUGCUGCAGUGGAGUUACAGUCAGGAGAGCAGUUCAAUACAUAUGUUAAACCAACAGUUCCCAUUUCUAUGGCUGCAACAACUGUUACUGGCAUAUCAUUUUAUAAUGAGGAAAUGACAGUAAAUGGAACAAAAGUGCAAUCAGUGUCCAUAAAAACUGCUAUGGAUGAAUUUGUUAAUUGGAUAUCCAAAUUCAAAAGUGUAUGUUUAGUAGCUCACAAUGGUCGCAGAUUUGACUUUCCCAUUCUUGUGUCUACAUUAAAGAACAUUGGAGCUCAGGAUAAGUUAUCAGAAUGUGCAUUCAUUGACUCCAUGUCAGUGUUUCGAAAGCUUUAUCCGAACACAUCACUGAAACAAGUAGACCUUGUGUCAUCUUUACUUGGUGAAACAUACGAUGCACACAAUGCCAUGGGUGAUGUGGUUGCCCUUGGGAAAUUAAUCAAGUUUGUGAACCUCUCAAGUAGUGAUUUAAUGGCUCAUAGUUUUACUCAGUCAGCAAUUGCUAAUAACAUGGCUUUCAACAAAUCUAAAACACUCAAUUUGCCAUCAUUGAAUCCGUUGAUUUAUUCAGGUGUGAUAAAAAAACUACGGCUGAAAACAUUGCUGGGUCUGGUCUGAAUAUAAAUCACUUAAAACUGUUGCAUAACAGAGGUGGGGAAGAUGCUUUAAAGAUGUGUUUAUUUCAAAGAACUCAGAAGGCUUACCAAGAGUCUCUAACAAUAAGAAAGUGUUGGAAGAGAUUGUACCACAAAUUGCUAAAUAUUUUGAAAAUCACUAGAUUUUUAUACUCUGGUAUAAUAACUGUUCAGGGACAAAAAUGUUUUCUGUACAUUUAUUUGUCUGUACAUCCACAGUGAUAAUUAUGGAAAUAACAAUAUAGGUGUUCUAUAUUUAUUGCAAUGUUCUUAUCUAUAAAACAUCAUACAAUGUAUUUACCAGAAAAUAUUUAUGUAAUGCGUAAGAUAUAUUAUUUACUCAAAUUUUGUCUCGGCAAAUUUACUUUUUGGUGGUAUCAAAUACCUAAUGAUAUCAUAUUAUUUUACAUUAAAAUGGUUAAACCAACUAGUAAAUGUA